rnacentral:tRNA from 1 species
GCCCGGAUGGUGAAAUUGGUAGACACACAGGACUUAAAAUCCUGCGCCUUUAACGGGCGUGCCGGUUCGAUUCCGGCUCCGGGCACCA